UGGGGAAUAUUGGACAAUGGGCGCAAGCCUGAUCCAGCCAUGCCGCGUGUGUGAAGAAGGCCUUUUGGUUGUAAAGCACUUUAAGCGAGGAGGAGGCUACUCUAGUUAAUACCUAGGGAUAGUGGACGUUACUCGCAGAAUAAGCACCGGCUAACCCUGUGCCAA
rnacentral:rRNA from 1 species